rnacentral:rRNA from 1 species
UACGGGGGGUGCGAGCGUUUGUCCGGGAAUCACUGGGCGUAAAGGGCGCGUAGGUGGUUUGAUAAGGGUGUGGUGAAAGUCCGGGGCUCAACCCCGGAUCUGCCGUGCCGACUGUCAAACUCGAGGACUGUAGAGGCAGCGGAAUUCCGGGGUGUAGCGGAUGGAAUGCGUAGAGAUCCGGAGGAAGACCGGUGGCGGAAGGCGGUCUGCUGGGCCAGUUUCUGACACUGAGGCGCGACAGCGUGGGGGAGCAAACAGG